rnacentral:rRNA from 1 species
GACGAACGCUGGCGGCGUGCCUAAUACAUGCAAGUCGAGCGGACGAAUCGAAAGCUUGCUUUUGAUUCGUUAGCGGCGGACGGGUGAGUAACACGUGGGCAACCUGCCCUGUAGACGGGGAUAACACCGAGAAAUCGGUGCUAAUACCGGAUAACACGAAAUGUCGCAUGACGUUUCGUUGAAAGACGGCGCAAGCUGUCGCUACAGGAUGGGCCCGCGGCGCAUUAGCUAGUUGGUGAGGUAACGGCUCACCAAGGCGACGAUGCGUAGCCGACCUGAGAGGGUGAUCGGCCACACUGGGACUGAGACACGGCCCAGACUCCUACGGGAGGCAGCACUAGGGAAUCUUCCGCAAUGGACGAAAGUCUGACGGAGCAACGCCGCGUGAGCGAAGAAGGCCUUCGGGUCGUAAAGCUCUGUUGUUAGGGAAGAACAAGUAACGCAGUAACUGGCGUUACCGUGACGGUACCUAACGAGAAAGCCACGGCUAACUACGUG